CACUCUUUACCUAAUAAGGUCAUCUUAUGAGCAAAGUUAAAUUAUUAGUCAAAGAUUUACCUGGGUCAUGUGAACUAAAAGGCAUUCAAAUUGAUCAUGUGAACUUUUUGGAAGAUUUGUAACAUGUAUAAACCCAUAAAUAAGUAUCCAAUGGUGACACUCAGAAGCAUCAUUUGUUUACCAGAAGCACCCAUAUUCAUCCCAGCAAGCUCCAUCAAGGAUACACAUGCAGUCUUUACAGAGGGAAGCUUGGAAUUCAAUGGAGAAGAGAGUCAGGAGGCAGCGCUGGAACAGGCCAACCCUGGGAUGCUGACAGAGUCACAACGUCAUUUAAAGUGGGAAGGCCUCACACCAGGAAGAAGACAAAUGGAGAAUUUGUAAUAGAAUGAUGAUACAGUAAAAAGAAACUACCUUACUCUGGAAAGGGAUGGACGGCAGCAUCUGAGGUGAGUCCAUGUGGGCACAAAGUGAUGUACCAAAGAGAAGACACCU
rnacentral:lncRNA from 1 species